AGUGAACGCUGGCGGUAGGCCUAACACAUGCAAGUCGAACGGCAGCACAGUAAGAGCUUGCUCUUACGGGUGGCGAGUGGCGGACGGGUGAGGAAUACAUCGGAAUCUACUUUUUCGUGGGGGAUAACGUAGGGAAACUUACGCUAAUACCGCAUGCGACCUACGGGUGAAAGCAGGGGAUCUUCGGACCUUGCGCGAUUGAAUGAGCCGAUGUCGGAUUAGCUAGUUGGCGGGGUAAAGGCCCACCAAGGCGACGAUCCGUAGCUGGUCUGAGAGGAUGAUCAGCCACACUGGAACUGAGACACGGUCCAGACUCCUACGGGAGGCAGCAGUGGGGAAUAUUGGACAAUGGGCGCAAGCCUGAUCCAGCCAUACCGCGUGGGUGAAGAAGGCCUUCGGGUUGUACAGCCCUUUUGUUGGGAAAGAAAAGCAGCAGGUUAAUACCCCGCUGUUCUGACGGUACCCAAAGAAUAAGCACCGGCUAACUUCGUG
rnacentral:rRNA from 1 species